rnacentral:tRNA from 1 species
AGAAGUGUGGCUCAGUGGAAAGAGCCUGGGCUUGGGAGCCAGAGGUCAUGGGUUGGAAUCCCGGCUCUGCCA